GUGUAAGGUUUCCGUAGGUGACCUGCGGAAGGAUCAUUA
rnacentral:rRNA from 1 species